GCCGGAGUAGCUCAACCGGUAGAGCAGCCGCCUUGUAAGCGGCAGGCUAGGGGUUCGAGUCCCCUCUCCGGCU
rnacentral:tRNA from 1 species